rnacentral:misc_RNA from 1 species
AUGAAACUUGGGUAUUGUGCGCAGGGUGAUCGCACCAAGAAGGUGGGAGUAAUUGACAGUCAAUAUAUUAUUCACAAGGGCAUAAUGACUUUGGGUGGAGGUGGAAGAAAGUCUAAGCCUUCUUCAAAAGCUGCAGAGAAACAUAGCCCGAUACCUGGUGAUGUUCGAACAGAGAUAAGGAGGCAAUCAACAUGGGAACUUCAAAUCUUCAAAGAGCGAUGGAACAAAGCGGUAGCAGAGGACAAGAGUUGGGUUGAUCCAUUCAAACCAAAUUCAUUAAAAAGUGAUGAAAGACGGAGGAAACGACGCUGCCACCAUUAAUAUUCAGCAAGCAAGCAUCCUAGCUGAGCUUGAUCUAGAUGGGGGUUGUACUUCCUCUCAACACAUAUUUUAUCAUUGCCAUACUGCAAUAGUUGUAGUACAUCCUAAAAUUUUUUCAUUAUUUGAGUUUUCAAUUUUGCCCCCCACAGAUGGGUUUUCUUUUGUAUGUAGCAAUGUAGCUUCCUCCCCCAGAGCAGAAGGAAGAAAGAGG